CCUGAUGUGAACAGUGUAAAUCAUCCCCAGCAUGUGACUGUCAGUGCUGGCUGGGCCAAAGAUGGGAAGCUGAUGGUCCAGGUGGGGAGAUAGAAGGUUUCAGAAUCAAAGAGGGUAAGAAAGACUGAGGAUGCAGAGACGUUCAGAGAAAGGGAGGAGCCUGAUCUUGGGAGAGGCGAGAGAAUGUCUUCAGCUAGUGACAAACCAGGAGGUGGAAGAGGGAGAGCAACCUAGAAGG